rnacentral:rRNA from 1 species
CAGUCGCCGCGGUAAUACGAAGGGUGCAAGCGUUAAUCGGAAUUACUGGGCGUAAAGCGUGCGCAGGCGGUGAGUUAAGUCUGCUGUGAAAUCCCCGGGCUCAACCUGGGAAUGGCAGUGGAUACUGGCUCGCUAGAGUGUGUCAGAGGAUGGUGGAAUUCCCGGUGUAGCGGUGAAAUGCGUAGAGAUCGGGAGGAACAUCAGUGGCGAAGGCGGCCAUCUGGGACAACACUGACGCUGAGGCACGAAAGCGUGGGGAGCAAACAGGAUUAGAUACCCCGGUAGUCCCUGUCUCUUAUAC